UGCAAUGAUUUGAAUUCAUCCGGGGUUUUUGAAGCUUUCAUUUGCCUGUCAAGCUAAUUAUUUUAAGCUAUGAGACAGAUUCCCAUGGCAGCCAUAACAGGAUUGUGAAUCAAGUAUGGCAUUCGGAUAGCUGUAGGCAUGUACUUAGCUGGUGUUUUCUUGGGGUUUACUGUGGAGCGUCUAUGUCGCAAUCAAGUUCACAGGCUAAUCACAAUGGCUGUCAAUUUUGUUACUGAAUACUCUCAUUUAAAAGGCAACUUUGCAGCUGGUCUUGUACUGUUCUUCUUUUGCAAGUCAUUGGAGGAAGUUUUACAUUUUCUGUUGAUAUGCCGUAUCUCUUACCGGGCAAUUCCUGUGCAGGGUGAGCUUCCACUUUUUUCUGGAAUACAGCACCGGAUUUUGGGAUGGAGGCUGUCUGUGAUCUGGAGUUCAGACAAGGUAUACUUUGCUAGUACGACAUUGGGAUUUUGAUUGCCACAUAAACUUAUCGAACAUCCAGUGCCUCUCCGAGGUUAGUGCACUUAAUAUCUACAAUCAACAUCCUGAGAGUGUUGGUGCCCUCUAGGUCAUGUUAACUGGUUCUUUUUAGGUUGUUUAGUUCAGUUUUUUUUUUUCCCGGUUUUCUCCGUAUAUCAAAUGGUUUCGUAAAGGAUCGGACUGCAUAAAUUGUACAGUUUCUGUUUCAAACUGUAUUCUUCAUGCUGUCAUACUAGGUCCAGCUCUUUGAAUGUAUCGGGAAGAAGUAUGUGAUUCUUUUCUUUUAUCAAUUGGACUUCACCUUCAUCUGUCCUGCAGGUUUGCUCUAAACUAAACUCAAUUAAAUUGAAAACUUGUAUACUGGCCGAAUUUGGGUCAGUUCUGUAUUUAGUUUCUCUUCUCUAUCUUGUAGAUAUCAUAGCUAUUAGUGGCAAAUAGCUACCUUGCAAAGCAAUGUAUAAUGACCGAAGUUUGAAAAGUUGAACACAGAAAUUCUGGGUGUUCCAGUUGACAGAGUGGUGAAAAUUGUUCUUCCUUAUGUCAUUUAGCUGCCAAACUUGCAAAAGCUGGAUUAUCAAUUUCCCGCUACUAUGCUGCAAGUGCGUUAUAAGAACUGUUUAUUUCAACUUAUGUAAAUAUUAAAAAUUGUUUUAAGAUUAAAGAAUUCUACAUUGCUUUAAAUGACUGUGGAUGUUAUAUUGAUGUAUUUAAAGGAUUGAAGCCUUCAAUCUUAAUUGAAAGUCAAUCACCCAACACAAAAGCACAAAUGUAAGAAAAAAGUCAUUCCAAACAGCAAAAUAUCUCCUGCAGGGUUGAUUCGAGUUGAUGUCUUUACAUAUUAAGAGGAUCUUCUUUCUUUCUCCAUGGCCACGCCGGUCAGCAAUCAAUGUGUCUAGUUUUUUCCUGACAAUCAUUAGUUAUCUAUCGUCUGGACUGAUGUGUGUUGCUGCAUAUUGAUAUUAAGCGGGACACAUUUCGUUUGGCAAUUCUAAAUUUUUCUCCGGUACAAAGUUUAUGUGGACACCAUACGAUGGAUCGACUGUACAGAGUCAAAAAGCAUUUUUGGCUUUUGUUUGUAAUUCUUGAACCAUUAUUGAGUUCCCUCUGUACCAGAUUCAAUGCUGGAUUUGAUGUUUACUUACACGUCCUAAUAUCAGCAAGUGCGUCUCUCCGUAAACUAUUCAGUUUUUGGCUCAAAUCUGGAAUUUUCUGACGGCCCUUGUACCAACAUACCUGCAGUUCUCACACCUUGCAUGGUUUAAACUGAUAGGAAGUCAGGUGGGCUUGGUGAUCUCGAGUUUUCUCUCAUUUCUGACGUUACAAAGUCGAUUUCGAAAUGUUGUGGUGUGCUGAUUCCCAAUCAGGUAUGAACCAUAUGAUGAAUGUAUUUGUAGUUAGGAUUUCCAUUUUUAGCAUAGACUCGGUUUAGUAGUCUGACUUUUUGUUGAAUAAUUCUGUGUACAUCUCUCGAAGCAUGUAUCGAUACUGUCUAUUGCUGAACAUAUACAUGUGCUCAUCUCUGGCCUUAUACAUGUGCUAGUACAGUAUCAAUUAAUUGAAUCCUCAUCAUGGUCUCUUAAGCUACAUUGACACUUCAGUUCGUAGCGGCAUAAGCGUCAUCUCUUCUAGUAUGCACGAGCACAAGUUGGCACAGCCACACAUGGUUGCAUCUGGGCUCAUUCAUGUGCUUUAAGUAAGAGGAAUAUGCAGCAACUGCUUAUUUGGGGCUUAGCUCUGUCAUGUUGAAGCAACAGAUGAUGUAAGGAGUCUGAACCGUCAGACGAUAAUAUUGAAUGAGCUUAUGCACUUCCAGUGACUUAAAAAGUCGCAGAACAUUCAAGCUCUUCCAUUAACAGGUAAAUGCGAGAGCGAGAAUGUUUAUUGAUGCUCGCAGUUGGUCUGAUGUCAAUCUUGUGGUGCAAGCAUUUGCUUGUGGACCUUGUGCAUUUUUCAGUUAUAAGUAGCAAUUUGACUGCACCAUGAGUGUCGUUUUUUUUUUUUUUGGUUUUAUGAUUAUCACGUUGUGAGCUAUCAUGAUGGAUCAUUUUGAUUUCAUGCUAUGGUCCGCUCGCUCUCGUAUGAUUUUGCUGAAUAAUAUGCCCAGUUUGCACAGCUCUGGGGCAAUUUCCAGACUGCAAAAGUUCUCAUUCCCCUUAAAUCAUGUCAGGGCAUAGCAUUGAGGGUUCUAUGCAUCAUUGAGAGAACACUGCAGUAUGUGCAAGAGAACCCUGAUGAAGUCUGGUCUGUUGGUUGGAAGCCUGAGAGGAGUCCACGAAACCGGAUCCUAAGCUCAGCAAAGAGUACUUAACGGCGAUGUGAAUUUUGAGCAGUGUGUUGUGCUGGACUUGAUUCUGUUUCCCGAGCUGAGUGCUAGUGUUGUAAAUUCUUCCUUUUUCCUCUGGUCUAAAUGUUUCCUUCGUUUA